AACUUGGGUUCGCGCUCCGCUGGCGACCACCGCGCCCGGCCCAUCGGAGGCGAUCUGUUCCCGGGUCUCCCAAACUAGUUCCCGAAGCCAGACCCGCGGCGCUCGCAGUGCCGAAUUUUGGACGAGCUUUUUCGUUUCAUUUCCUCACUUUGCGUUGUAGUCGUCUCAAAGGGGCUGACUAUAUGUCAGAAAGCAUCAGCUUUUCUCGAUGGACCCAUUCAUCUAAUGAAAUAUGCCUGUACUAUUUUAAAAAGCUUUGUAUUUCAUCAUAGAAAAGUUCGUCCCCCCAGAAUGAAAAUGAGGACAUUUGAGAAGGUGAUUUAAGGUGUGGACAUUUGAGAAGGUGUCCUAUCAAAUUAGUAAACCAAAGGAAAAGUACUGAAUAGAUUAAUCCAAAACACUUACUGUUUUUUAAACGAAGAGGAUUUCACCUUGACAGAAAAACAACUUUUAUUCAAUAUGUAUUUCCUGAAAUUAAAGAGACAAGAACAGACUGAAAGGAAAAUAGAUUCGUAAAUAAGCUACGUCAACUCUAUCCU
rnacentral:sRNA from 1 species